AUUGAACGCUGGCGGCAGGCCUAACACAUGCAAGUCGAGCGGAUGAGUGGAGCUUGCUCCAUGAUUCAGCGGCGGACGGGUGAGUAAUGCCUAGGAAUCUGCCUGGUAGUGGGGGACAACGUUUCGAAAGGAACGCUAAUACCGCAUACGUCCACGGGAGAAAGUGGGGGAUCUUCGGACCUCACGCUAUCAGAUGAGCCUAGGUCGGAUUAGCUAGUUGGUGAGGUAAAGGCGCACCAAGGCGACGAUCCGUAACUGGUCUGAGAGGAUGAUCAGUCACACUGGAACUGAGACACGGUCCAGACUCCUACGGGAGGCAGCAGUGGGGAAUAUUGGACAAUGGGCGAAAGCCUGAUCCAGCCAUGCCGCGUGUGUGAAGAAGGUCUUCGGAUUGUAAAGCACUUUAAGUUGGGAGGAAGGGCAGUAAGUUAAUACCUUGCUGUUUUGACGUUACCAACAGAAUAAGCACCGGCUAACUUCGUGCCAGCCGCCGCUGUAACAC
rnacentral:rRNA from 1 species